rnacentral:rRNA from 1 species
AUUGAACGCUGGCGGCAGGCCUAACACAUGCAAGUCGAGCGGAGCGGAGGAGGGGAGAGUAAUGCAUAGGAAUCGGAAUGGUAGGGGGGGAUAAGGUCAGGAAAGGGGAGCUAAGACCGCAUACUAUCACAUUAGCCGAGGGCGGAUUAGCUAGUUGGGGGGGUAAAGGCUCACCAAGGCGACGAUCCGUAACUGGUCUGAGAGGAUGAUCAGCCACACUGGAACUGAGACACGGUCCAGACUCCUACGGGAGGCAGCAGUGGGGAAUAUUGCACAAUGGGCGAAAGCCUGAUCCAGCCAUGCCGCGUGUGUGAAGAAGGUCUUCGGAUUGUAAAGUACUUUCAGUUGGGAGGCGUUACCCACAGAAUAAGCACCGGCUAACUCCGUGCCAGCAGCCGCGGUAAUUC